UGUAAUUGGUUAAAGUUGGUAGAAAAUGGUUGUAAUUGGCCAAAGUUGGUGCUUUUGGUCAAAGUUGGUAGAAAAUGGUUGUAAUUGGCCAAAGUUGGUGUUUUUGGUCAAAGUUGGUAGAAAAUGGUUGUAAUUGGUUAAAGUUGGUAGAAAAUGGUUGUAAUUGGCCAAAGUUGGUGUUUUUGGUCAAAGUUGGUAGAAAAUGGUUGUAAUUGGUUAAAGUUGGUAGAAAAUGGUUGUAAUUGGCCAAAGUUGGUGUUUUUGGUUAAAGUUGGUAGAAAAUGGUUGUAAUUGGUUAAAGUUGGUAGAAAAUGGUUGUAAUUGGCCAAAGUUGGUGUUUUUGGUCAAAGUUGGUGUUUUUGGUCAAAGUUGGUAGAAAAUGGUUGUAAUUGGUCAAAGUUGGUAGAAAAUGGUUGUAAUUGGCCAAAGUUGGUGUUUUUGGUCAAAGUUGGUAGAAAAUGGUUGUAAUUGGCCAAAGUUGGUGAUUUUGGUCAAAGUUGGUAGAAAAUGGUUUUAAUCGGUCAAAGUUAGUGUUUUUGGUCAAAGUUGGUAGAAAAU